rnacentral:sRNA from 1 species
GGUUAGAUCGGGAGACUCAUCAAUAACAAGGUAGAACCGAGACUUGCUCUGGUUUCCAAUGGCGGGCCACGCCCCUGACGGGGUAACCUUCGGUCGGUGGAUUACAAAGGAGGCCGGGCGCUCAAAACUUAUUUUCUCGGAGUUCUCAUCACAUCACCGGUGCGGUUAUUUU